rnacentral:rRNA from 1 species
UACGUAGGGGGCAAGCGUUGUCCGGAAUCAUUGGGCGUAAAGCGCGUGUAGGCGGCCAGGUAAGUCCGUUCUGAAAGCCCGGGGCUCAACCCCGGGAGGCGGAUGGAUACUGCUUGGCUCGAGUCCGGAAGAGGCGAGUGGAAUUCCCGGUGUAGCGGUGAAAUGCGCAGAUAUCGGGAGGAACACCAAUGGCGAAGGCAGCUCGCUGGGACGGUACUGACGCUGAGACGCGAAGGCGUGGGGAGCAAACGGG